rnacentral:lncRNA from 1 species
CCCAUUUUGUGUACGUGUUGAUGCUUCACCGCCCAACCUUCUGUGCCAUACAGCAUCGCCGGCCUUAUUGCCGUCCUAUAAAAUUUUCCCUUGAGCUUUAGUGGCCUACUACGGUCACACAACACGCCGGAUGCACUCUUCCACUUCAUCUAUCCAGCUUGUAUUCUAUGGUUGAGAUCUCCAUCUAAUUCUCCGUUCUUUUGCAAGAUAGAUCCUAAGUAGCGAAAAUGGUCGCUCUUUGGUAUUUCCUGAUCUCCGAUCCUCACCCCUAAUUCAUUUUGGCCUCCAUUUGCACUGAACUUGCACUCCAUAUAUUCUGUCUUUGAUCGGCUUAGGCGAAGACCUUUAGAUUCCAACAUUUCUCUCCAAAGGUUAAGCUUCGCAUUUACCCCUCCUGAGUUUCAUCUAUCAACACUAUAUCGUUUGCGAAAAGCAUACACCAAGGAAUAUCAUCUUGAAUAUGUCCUGUUAACUCAUCCAUUACCAACGCAAAAAGGUAAGGACUUAAGGAUUGUUGAUGCACAAAAUCAGUGAGGACUUUGGUACAACAGAAAGUAUUAAGUUUGUGAUCUUUGCUAGAUUGCUCUGGUCAUUAGUGUGGAUAAGUAUGUAAAUGGAUAGAGACAUGAAAGCAAACACAAGAUGUACAUGGUUCACCCAGAUUGGCUACAUCCACGGAGUAGAGGAGUUCUCAUUAAUUGUGAAGGGUUUACACAAGUAUAUAGGUUCAAGCUCUCAUUUAGUGAGUACAAGUGAAUGAUUUAGUACAAAUGACAUAGGUUCAAGCUCUCGUCUUCACUUGCCUUAUCUGUCUCAUAGGUAGAUGUGGCAUCUUCUCUGGAAGUACUCUUCCUCCAUCCAAGGGUGGUAUCUUUAACUGGUGGAGAUGCACAAGGUAAUGUAUCAAUUUCACAUGAAGCUUACUUGUAGUUUCAGGCUUGGUCAAGCGCGAUACAAACCAUGUAGUAGGAGUCCCCCAAGUCGCUGAGCUAGGGGAUCUGCUGAAAGAGGCGACAGACAAGGUAAGCAAUCAGAGCUCCAAGAAAUCAGUCCCAGAUCAGAAGUUUGAUUUCGAGUUUCGGCUGAUUGUUCUCAUUCUCCUUAUCUUGCAGGCAGCAUGAAGGAUAAAGAGAAGAAAGAUGAUAUGAGAUACUUUUGCUUUUGAAGAAGUAACUUUCCACAGGCUUAUUCUUGAACUGGGCUGGAGGAUUUUCUGGUUUCCUCCAGAGUAUAAGGCCGACUGAAGAAUUUGAGGGUUAAAACAAGUCCAUCAAAUCUAGAGUACGUUUGACUCUGCUGAUAUGGGAUACUUUUGCUGUUGACAAAGUAGUGGAUGUAUCGGCACGUGUUCUGUUACGCUUGUCUCCACAUGUUUUCUUGUAUCCUUCUCAUUUUCCCUAUCUGUUCCUUAGGCAGAUGUUGUAUCUUCUCUGGAAGCAUAAGAUGUUGAAGAUGAGUACUCGAGAGCAAUGCCAGGUAAGUAAUCAGGUAAGGGGUUCCAGGCAGUCAGUUCCUGACUAGAAGCUUGAUUUCAAGUGCUGACUGAUUACUCUCUUUCUCCUUGUCUUGCAGGUAAGAACAAGGCCAAAGGAAAAGACAGGGAAAAAGCAUGAUAUGGGAUACUUUUGCAUUUAACCCUGAUGAUAUGAGAUAUUCUUGCUCUGGUGUAGCUUGUUUGCAGAGAGAUUAUCGGGGGGAAAGAAAGCUGAGUAUUUCGAGAGGCUUCGUUGGGAGUGCCCUCUCAGAUAUGAGGAAGGGUUGAGCAUUUUUGCAGGUCUGCCUGUCCGUUGAGGAUGGAGGUCGACAUAUAUAGGAGUUUCCCUAUCAACAAGUAGUAAUGCUAUUCCUUUACCCUGCUUGGUCAUAGCACGGUAGUGGGAGCUGCCAGCUUCACAUGUGUCAGAGCACUUUGAAAAAGUGGUCUGUGGUAUCUGGAAAGCUGAUGUUGCGUGUGAAGAUUACAGACAAACUUUAUCCAAGGAGAUCUGACUCUCGAAGUUGAGAAAGCGGUGCCUCUUUGGUUUUCGAACAAGCAAUCCUGUCGGGGAUUUGGCUCUCGAGAUUCGGAGAACGGUGCCUCUUCAAUUUUUUAGAGAGCAAUCAUGCUGGGAGUCUGGCUCUCGAGAUUCGGAUAGCCAUGUCUCUUCGAUUUUUGAGAAAGUAAUCAUGUUAGGAGUCUGGCUCUUGAGAUUCGGAGGACGGUGCCUCUUCGAUUUUGGAGUAAGCAAUCUUGUUGGGAGUGUUUUCUCGAAUGUGAGUAAAGGUUGGGCAUGUUUGCUAGUCUACCUUGCCACGGAGCAUAGAGGUUGACACAUAGGGACUUUCCAAUUAUCCAGCAGUGGUGCUGUUUCUUUACCCUUGUGGGUAAUAAUAUGGUAGCUAGACCUUCAAAAUUUAUGUGUCUAAACUUUGUUAGUGCUGUUUCUUUGCUAUUCUUUUACCCUUCUUGGUCAUAGCGAUGUAGUGGGAGCUGCAAGCUUCACGUGUCUAAACUUUGUCAGAGAUCUUUGGCAAAGUUAUCUGUGGUACCCAUGAGCUGAUGGUGCGUGUGGAAAGUGGAUGAUUGAACAGUAAGAUUCACGUGCUUUCUACUUCACCAGAAAUCUUCAAUAGAAUGCCCGUAAUUUCAGCAAAGCUGAGUGUGCAUGUGACAGGUGCUGACAAGGCUGAGAAAAGCAGGUGCCUCUUCGAUUUCUAAGAUCGGCCCUCGUGGUCUCUGAGCAGCCUAGCUUUUGAGAAAGCAAACACCUCUUCGAUUUCUGAGAUCGGCCUUCAUGGUCUUUGAGCAGCCUAGCUUUUGAGAAAGCAAACACCUAUUCGAUUUUUGAGAUCGGCCCUCAUGGUCUUUGAGCAGCCCAGCUUUUGAGAAAGCAAACGCCUCUUCGAUUUCUGGGCAGGUGCCUCUUCGAUUUCUGAAGCUCCGUCGAGUGCAGAUUUUUAUAGAGGUUGGCAUUAAGUUCCAAAGCACACUUGAAUCUUCACCGGUAGAAGCUUCCUUCUUGCACUUCUAAGAUCUUGAUUUGUCCGACCUUUUCUCUCUUCAACACCUUUGAAAAUGUCUGGCCCCUCCGACCGUCGUUUUGACUUGAACCUUGUUGAAAAGGCAGCCAUGCCUUCUUCAGACAACAUAUGGCACCCAUCCUUCUUAUCCCCUACUGGUCCUCUUACCGUUGGGGAUUCCGUGAUGAAGAAUGAUAUGACUGCUGCGGUGGUGGCCAGGAACCUUCUCACUCCCAAAGAUAACAGACUACUUUCCAAACGGUCUAAUGAGUUGGCUGUUAAGGAUUCUCUGGCUCUAAGUGUUCUGUGUGCAGGUUCUGUGUCUAAUAUGGCCCAACGCCUAUUUGCUCGAACCCGCCAAGUUGAAUCAUUGGCGGCUGAAGUGAUGAGUCUCAAACAGGAGAUUAGAGGGCUCAAGCAUGAGAAUAAACAGUUGCACCGGCUCGCACAUGACUAUGCUACAAACAUGAAGAGAAAGCUUGACCAGAUGAAGGAAUCUGAUGGUCAGGUUUUACUUGAUCAUCAGCGGUUUGUGGGUUUGUUCCAAAGGCAUUUAUUGCCUUCGUCUUCUGGGGCUGUACCGCGUAAUGAAGCUCCAAAUGAUCAACCUCUGAUGCCUCCUCCUUCUAGGGUUCUGUCCAGUACUGAGGCUCCGAAUGAUCCCCCUCCGGUGCCUUCUCUUUCUGGGGCUCUACCGACUACUGAGACUUCUCCUAAGCAACCUUUGUGAAGGCUCCCUCUUGUUUGUUUAUUUUGACUCAUGUAUAUGUACAUAUUUGUACCUUAUCGGAGAUAUCAAUAAAUAAGCUUUGCUUCAUUUCAACGUAUUGUGUUAAAUACACCAAAGCCUUCUUCAUUGAGUGGGGUCGGCUAUAUGAAUCUUAGAACGCCAUUGUGCUCGGUCCUGUGUCAUGUCCUCCGUUAGAUCCAAAUACUCUAAGUCUUUUCUUAGAGUCUCUUCCAAAGUUUUCCUAGGUCUUCCUCUACCCCUUCGGCCCUGAACCUCUGUCCCGUAGUCGCAUCUUCUAACCGGAGCGUCAGUAGGCCUUCUUUGCACAUGUCAAAACCAUCGUAACCGAUUUUCUCUCAAUUUUCCUACAAUUUCGGCUACUCCUACUUUACCUCGGAUAUCCUCAUUCCUAAUCUUAUCCUUUCUCGUGUGCCCACACAUCCAACGAAGCAUCCUCAUCUCCGCUACACCCGUUUUGUGUACGUGUUAAUGCUUCACCGCCCAACAUUCUGUGCCAUACAGCAUCGCCGGCCUUAUUGCCGUCCUAUAAAAUUUUCCCUUGAGCUUCAGUGGCAUACGACGGUCACACAACAUGCCGGAUGCAUUCUUCCACUUCAUCCAUCCAGCUUGUAUUCUAUGGUUGAGAUCUCCAUCUAAUUCUCUGUUCUUUUGCAAGAUAGAUCCUAAGUAGCGAAAACGAUCGCUCUUUGGUAUUUCCUGAUCUCCGUCCUCACCCCUAACUCAUUUUGGCCUCCAUUUGCACUGAACUUGCACUUCAUAUAUUCUGUCUUUGAUCGGCUUAGGCGAAGAUCUUUAGAUUCCAACAUUUCUCUCCAAAGGUUAAGCUUCGCAUUUACCCCUUCCUGAGUUUCAUCUAUCAACACUAUAUCGUUUGCGAAAAGCAUACACCAAGGAAUAUCAUCUUGAAUAUGUCAUGUUAACUCAUUCAUUACCAACGCAAAAAGGUAAGGACUUAAGGAUGAGCCUUGAUGUAAUCCUACAGUUAUGGGGAAGCUUUCGGUUUGUCCUUCAUGAGUUCUUACGGCAGUCUUUGCUCCUUCAUACAUAUCCUUUAUAGCUUGGAUAUAUGCUACUUGUACUCCUUUCUUCUCUAAAAUCCUCCAAAGAAUGUCUCUUGGGACCCUAUCAUACGCUUUUUCAAAUCUAUAAAGACCAUGUGUAAAUCCUUUUUCCCAUCUCUAUAUCUUUCCAUCAAUCUUCGUGAGAGAUAGAUUGCCUCCAUGGUUGAGCGCCCUGGCAUGAACCCGAAUUGGUUGUCCGAAACCCGUGUCUCUUGCCUCAAUCUAUGCUCAAUGACUCUCUCCCAGAGCUUCAUUGUAUGACUCAUUAGCUUAAUACCCCUAUAGUUCAUGCAAUUUUAUACGUCGCCCUUAUUCUUGUAGAUAGGCACCAAAGUGCUCUUUCGCCACUCAUUUGGCAUCUUCUUCGUUUUCAAAAUCCUAUUGAAAAGGUCAAUGAGCCAUGCUAUACCUGUCUCUCCCAAGACUUUCCACACUUCGAUCGGUAUAUCGUCUGGGCCCACUGCUUUUCUAUGUUUCAUCUUCUUCAAAGCUACAACCACUUCUUCCUUCCUGAUUCG